rnacentral:lncRNA from 1 species
ACAGCCAUUCCUCAUGAAGAGAGCACAGCAUAUGUGAAUACUGAAUUAAACACCAAAGCAAGGACACCCUUUACAGCAGCAGCUUCAAUGUUUUGUGUGCCUGACAGAGAAGGGCCCAGUCCUGCAGCACGUGUUAUUUUCCCAGGGAGACACUCUUUCAGUGUAACUGGCACAAAAUGUUUCCUUUUUUAGUAACACACUAUUCUCUGACAAGACUCUGGAAAGUUCUGUGCAUUUACUUGAAAUAGAUUAGGGGCUAUGAUAAGGUCAGAUUAACAAAUAUAGAAUACCUGGUAAACUUUAUGAUGCUUUCAGGACAGUAGACAGAGCACUGAACAGGAAAAUAAUGAGGAAGAGCUAAGCCAGAACAGAAAAGCCAGAGACCAGAGUCAAGAGAAAAGAGAAUAAAGGGAUGAGAGGGACAAAGACAAGAAACACAGAAGGCAGUGGUAGAUUUAUUGCCUGGGUGAAAUGCAGACAGGAUGAUCUACGAACUGUUCCACACUGGACUUCUCUAGCUCUCUUUGCUGUUUAUUAUGUGCCAUAUUUUCCUUCAGAGACAGUCUGAACAUUUAUUACAUCAUCCUCUGAUCUUUCUAGGGGAAGUGGCUGACUUUGUGGUGGCAGCAAAAUUUAACAUCUUUAAUGGUGACCUUACACUGACCUCUUUGAUGUUUCCUUAUCCCAGUCUACAGGCAUUUGCUAAAAGGUCAAACACGGGAUCAAGCCAAAACAGAGAUGACAGCAAUACAAUAAGAAACCAAAGUACAAGAGAUCAAUAACCCUUUUGCAAUCAACAGUUACCUGGUCUGAGAAUCAAUAGGAGUCUCUUGUGCACGGGCAGGAAUCCCAACAAUACCAAUCCUUUUCUUUGUUCUUUAGUUGAAAGGCUGAUUGAUUGUUUACAGGAAGAGUUUAUAGUGCAGCUAACUUCAAUCACCUGCACCCAAAAGGCCUGCAAUCCCCCUCAGCAUGUCUAUGCAGGAGAUGUGUGAGGAAAAUAAAAUAGAUGAGCUCUGUUCA